AGCGAACGCUGGCGGCAGGCUUAACACAUGCAAGUCGAACGCCCCGCAAGGGGAGUGGCAGACGGGUGAGUAACACGUGGGAACGUACCCUUUGGUUCGGAAUAACUUGGGGAAACUCAAGCUAAUACCGGAUAAGCCCUUAUGGGGAAAGGUUUACUGCCGAAGGAUCGGCCCGCGUCUGAUUAGCUAGUUGGUGGGGUAAUGGCUCACCAAGGCGACGAUCAGUAGCUGGUCUGAGAGGAUGAUCAGCCACACUGAGACUGAGACACGGACCAGACUCCUACGGGAGGCAGCAGUGGGGAAUAUUGGACAAUGGGGGCAACCCUGAUCCAGCCAUGCCGCGUGAGUGAUGAAGGCCUUAGGGUUGUAAAGCUCUUUUACCCGGGACGAUAAUGACUGUACCGGGAGAAUAAGCCCCGGCUAACUUCGUGCCAGCCGCCGCGGUAA
rnacentral:rRNA from 1 species